GCGAAAGGCCCUUUUGAGAAUCACUGGGUGUUUUAGGGGAUCAUUGGGGAUGUUUUUAGGGUUCUAUAAUUCUUAGGUAAUUUGGGUGUUUUGAGUUUCUGGACAUUUCUGAGGGUCACUGGGUGUUCUAGGAAAUCAUUGGGGUGUUUUUGAGGGUGAUUAAAUAUUAAGAGAGUAAUGUGAGGUUACGGGAGUUUUAGAAGGUGUUGCUGAAGGUCAUUUGAUGUUUUAGGGGAUCAUUGGGAUGUUUUUGAGGGUGAUUAGAUAUUUAGAGAGUAAUGUGAGGUUACGGGAGUUUUAGAAGGUGUUGCUGAAGGUCAUUUGAUGUUUUAGGGGAUCAUUGGGGUGUUUUUGAGGGUCAUAUAUUUAGGGAGUAAUCUGGGUGUUUAUGGGUUUCUGGGCAUUUUGGGGGUCACUGGGUGUUUUUGUGUGUCAUUAAGUAUUUAGGGAGUAAUCUGGGUGUUUUGGAGUUUCUGGAUGUUUUUUGAGGGUCACUGGGUGUUUUAGGGGACCGUUGGGGUGUUUUUGAGGGUCAUUAAGGACUUAGUGAGUAAUCUGGGUGUUUAUGGGUUUCUGGGCAUUUUGGGGGUCACUGGGUGUUUUUGUGUGUCAUUAAGUAUUUAGGGAGUAAUCUGGGUGUUUUGGAGUUUCUGGAUGUUUUUUGAGGGUCACUGGGUGUUUUAGGGGAUCAUUGGGGUGUUUU